CUUUGGCGACGACAUUGCCGCCUACAACGGUGGUUUACCUCGAGUUGGCCGUUUUCGGCUAUUUUCAGUCGAUUUCGGCCAGUUUUGUACCCAUCCCUACGAGAAAAUACGUUAAAAGAUCUCGAAUGGCUAAAAAAAGUCAAAAAUCAAAGCUUACCGGCAGUAGAGUUUUCCAGUGCGGCGGCUCUGCUGGCUCACCUUCACGGUUGGGUAUUUUACUUUAGUCAACCUCUAGAGAAAAGAAUGGUGAUUACAGUGGUAGAAAAAUUACACGAAAUGGAAAUCAGGAAGGGCCUCAUCAGAGGUAAUUUUUGCUUUUUUUCGCGGUGGUGCUGCCGGGCUUUGGCCCGCAGUUUUUGGCUCAUCCGCUGGUCCUUUUGCUCCGAUUUGGCUAUGAGGGUGUUAAAAAUUGAAUUUCAAGUGAAUGAGAAAAAAUUUACCUUUUUUGGCGGUCGAAAGUGGCUCCGGCGCGAUGGCAAACGACGGUCGACUACCUUCCCGGCGACUGGCUCUUCUUCUCUGGCGGUGGGGUCUGACGGCUAGGGUUAGGGGUUGGUGUGAAGAGAGUUAUUUAUAUUCAUAUUCUUUUAAUCUGUACCGUUCAUCACGUUUGAUCUUGACCGUCCGAUUGCGUUUAAAUAGGAAGUGAAUAUGGAUCAUUCAUCACGAUUUAAUCUGGACCGUCCGAUCUGUUUAAAUAGAAAGUGAAUCAGGACCAUUCAUCGUGAUUUGAUCUGAACUGUCUGAUCGUGUUUUAAAAAGUGAACAAAUCCGGACUGUCC
rnacentral:lncRNA from 1 species